rnacentral:lncRNA from 1 species
CAACUAUUUGGUUAUAUGAACUUAAAUACUUAACCCUUGUUAGUAAAUGAGAUUAAUUGACAUUUUAUCCCCCUUAUAUUAUUUGUGAUGGUAGAAAGAAAAAAGAUGACCGUUAAAAAUUUUGAGGACAUUUCUAUAUAAUUUUAAUAGUUGGGGCUUUUUGAGAGACAUAUUUGUGAUACUAAAAUAUAAUUUCACUUAUCUUUUGUUAACAAAUAAACAGUGCUAUAACGGCAACAAACCGCAGGGACAAAUAUGAAUAUCACUGGACUUUUGCAGGAAUAAAUAUGAAAAGUUGAACUUUAUACGGAUAUAUUUUCUAUUAGAUAUAUUUACAGAGAGCUGUAUGAAAUUAACUCUAGAAUAAACUAUG